rnacentral:rRNA from 1 species
UACGUAGGGACCAAGCGUUGUUCGGAUUUACUGGGCGUAAAGGGCGCGUAGGCGGCAAUUCAAGUCAUCUGUGAAAUCUCCGGGCUUAACUCGGAACGGUCAGAUGAUACUGCUUUGCUAGAGUGCGGAAGGGGCAAUCGGAAUUCUUGGUGUAGCGGUGAAACGCGUAGAUAUCAAGAGGAACACCUGAGGUGAAGACGGGUUGCUGGGCCGACACUGACGCUGAUAGCGCGAAAGCCAGGGGAGCAAACGGG